UGUGUGACUGCGUACCUUUUGUAUAAUGGGUCAGCGACUUAUAUUCUGUAGCAAGGUUAACCGAAUAGGGGAGCCGGAGGGAAACCGAGUCUUAAUUGGGCGUUAAGUUGCAGGGUAUAGACCCGAAACCCGGUGAUCUAGCCAUGGGCAGGUUGAAGGUUGGGUAACACUAACUGGAGGACCGAACCGACUAAUGUUGAAAAAUUAGCGGAUGACCUGUGGCUGGGGGUGAAAGGCCAAUCAAACCGGGAGAUAGCUGGUUCUCCCCGAAAGCUAUUUAGGUAGCGCCUCGUGAAUUCAUCUCCGGGGGUAGAGCACUGUUUCGGCUAGGGGGCCAUCCCGGCUUACCAACCCGAUGCAAACUGCGAAUACCGGAGAAUGUUAUCACGGGAGACACACGGCGGGUGCUAACGUCCGUCGUGAAGAGGGAAACAACCCAGACCGCCAGCUAAGGUCCCAAAGUCAUGGUUAAGUGGGAAACGAUGUGGGAAGGCCCAGACAGCCAGGAUGUUGGCUUAGAAGCAGCCAUCAUUUAAAGAAAGCGUAAUAGCUCACUGGUCGAGUCGGCCUGCGCGGAAGAUGUAACGGGGCUAAACCAUGCACCGAAGCUGCGGCAGCGACGCUGAUGCGUUGUUGGGUAGGGGAGCGUUCUGUAAGCCUGCGAAGGUGGCCUGUGAGGGUUGCUGGAGGUAUCAGAAGUGCGAAUGCUGACAUAAGUAACGAUAAAGCGGGUGAAAAGCCCGCUCGCCGGAAGACCAAGGGUUCCUGUCCAACGUUAAUCGGGGCAGGGUGAGUCGACCCCUAAGGCGAGGCCGAAAGGCGUAGUCGAUGGGAAACGGGUUAAUAUUCCCGUACUUGGUGUUACUGCGAAGGGGGGACGGAGAAGGCUAUGUUGGCCGGGCGACGGUUGUCCCGGUUUAAGCGUGUAGGUGUGUGUUCCAGGUAAAUCCGGUU
rnacentral:rRNA from 1 species